CGGGAAGGGAUUUGGGGUGAUUUAGAGGGAAUUUGGGGUGUCCGGGAAGGAAUUUGGGGUGAUUUAGAGGGAAUUUGGGGUGUCCGGGAGGGGAUUUGGGGUGUCCGGGGUGAGUUUUUGGGGUACAAACCGCAGAUUUUGGGGACGGGCGGAGCCUUGUGGGGGGGUCCCCGCGUUGACGUCAGCAGGGAGUGGCGUGUGUCCCCCCCCCCGGUGACACCGCUGUCCCCCCCCCCCCCCCCCCCCCCCUCGCAGGGCCUGUCCUCGCAGAACGGCGGCUCCCCGAGUGGCACCGUGGUGUAGCUGUCACCUGUGUCACCUCCCGGGUCACCCGUGUCACGCUCCGGGACACGCCCGUGUCACCCUCCGGGACACGCCCGUGUCACCCUCCGGGACACGUCCGUGUCACCCGUGUCUCCCUCCGGGACACGCCCGUGUCACCCGUGUCACCCUCCGGGACACGCCCGUGUCACCCUCCGGGACACGCGUCACCCUCCGGGACAUGCCCGUGUCACCCUCCGGGACACGCCCGUGUCACCCGUGUCACCCUCCGGGACACGCCCGUGUCACCCUCCGGGACACGCGUCACCCUCCGGGACAUGCCCGUGUCACCCUCCGGGACACGUCCGUGUCACCCUCCGGGACACGCCCGUGUCACCCUCCGGGACACGCGUCACCUCCCGUGUCACCCGCUGGGUCAUCAGUGCCACCCGCGGCUGUCACCCUCCAUGUCACCCGCGGCUGUCACCCUCCGUGCCACCCGUGCCACCCGCGGCUGUCACCCUCGGGGCCACCCGUGUCACCCCCGAGGACUCCCGUGCCAGCCGCGGUGCCACCCCCGUACUACUGAGCCCCCCCGGCGCUGUCCCCGCGGUGUCACCGCUGUCCCCUGGCCCCGGGGGUGGCACCGCCGUGCCCGGGGACCCCCUCCCCCACCCCUGUGCCUUUGUCACUUUAUUGUCCCCGCGGGGCCACCGCGCGCCCCCCACCCUUAUUUAUACUAAAGAGACUUUUUGGCACCCGGGUGGCACCGGCCUGGCCGGGGGAGGAGACAGCGAGGGGACAGCGAGGGGACAGUGAGGGGACAGCGAGGGGACAUCGCGGGGACAGCGAGGGGACAGCGAAGGGACACCGCGGGGACAGCGAGGGGACAGCGGGGGACAGCGAGGGGACAGCGGGCGGAGCGCGGGGGAAGCGCCGGGUGGCACUUGGGGACAGAGCGGGACACGGGGGUGGCACUUGGGGACAGAGCGGGACCCGCCGGGUGGCGCUUGGGGACAGAGCGGGACACGCUGGGUGUCACAGGAGUGGCACAGAGGGGACAAUUUGGUGACACGGGGGGACACAGAGGGGACAGUUUGGGGACACGGGGGUGGCACA
rnacentral:lncRNA from 1 species